rnacentral:rRNA from 1 species
UACGUAGGGGGCAAGCGUUGUCCGGAUUUAUUGGGCGUAAAGAGCGUGUAGGCGGCUUUACAGGUCCGUUGUGAAAACUCGAGGCUCAACCUCGAGACGCCGGUGGAAACCGUAAGGCUAGAGUCCGGAAGAGGAGAGUGGAAUUCCUGGUGUAGCGGUGAAAUGCGCAGAUAUCAGGAAGAACACCCGUGGCGAAGGCGGCUCUCUGGGACGGUACUGACGCUGAGACGCGAAAGCGUGGGGAGUGAACAGG